UAUCUAUUAUGCUAUGUCACUAAUUACUAUAGGGAAAAUAAUAACUGAAGUUGAUUGAGAUCUAUCUGAUUCUCCUGAUAUCCAUCUCAACAGGUUUUUUUAUGCUUUUCAACAUCCAUUUCAUAGUGGUACAUGUGGCUUUGAUUAAUAUUACCGUAAAGACUGUUGAAAAUGGGUGUGGUACAGAAACCCAGAAAUGGCAUGAGUUCAACAUCAAACAUGGAUUAGAAUUUUGGCCGGGGAUCAAGUCAAGUCUGGAAGUGUUACAGGAUGGAAGAGUCAGCUUGUAGUUGAAAAAAAACACUGAGAGUACAUUACCGUUAAGGUAUGAGGUAAAGUAAUAGGGUAAUGCAAAUUGUCUAAUGAGAAGUAUCAUCUUGUGUUAAUGAAUCUGGUACAACAACAAUCCUUUAUAGUUCUGUCCCAGCUAAAAGCCUCAAAUAAUCUGCUUGUCUGGCUAAAGAACAACUUGUCCUUUACAUUCAGAGUGUUGGUCAAACUGGGUACUUAAAGGGCCCUAAAGAUGUUUCACUUCACUGCCAUUGCAUCGAUGCACAUCAUACAUGGACUUUUUAGAAAGGAUUUUCAUAUACUGGGAACACAACUAUCAACAAUGCAACAUUCUACAGGUGCUAGUUUAUCAUUCAAGAGCCUUAUACAAUGAUGUUCAUCUGCAAUUUGUAUGUCAUUUCCCAAGCUUCCACCAGAAGUUGAAUGUGUUAAUAGUAACAUUGGAUCUGAAAAGAUUCUUGGUUGGGGCAAGACACUGAAUAAAUUGUAAUGAUUGGAUGGAUGACAUGACAUUUCUAAACUUCAUUCGGAUUCCCGAGACGG